rnacentral:rRNA from 1 species
AUUGAACGCUGGCGGCGUGCCUAACACAUGUAAGUCGAGCGGUAACAGGUGUAGCAAUACAUGCUGACGAGCGGCGAACGGGUGAGUAAUGCUUCGGGAAUCUACCCAAUGGUGGGGAAUAACCAGCCGAAAGGUUGGCUAAUACCGCAUACGUCCCACGGGAGAAAGCAGGGGAUCGCAAGACCUUGCGCCAAUGGAUGAGCCGAAGUCGGAUUAGCUAGUUGGUAGGGAACGGCCUACCAAGGCGACGAUCCGUAGCUGGUCUGAAAGGACGACCAGCCACACUGGGACUGAGACACGGCCCAGACUCCUACGGGAGGCAGCAGUGGGGAAUAUUGGACAAUGGGGGAACCCUGAUCCAGCGACGCCGCGUGUGU